rnacentral:rRNA from 1 species
CACGUAGGGUGCGAGCGUUGUCCGGAAUUAUUGGGCGUAAAGAGCUCGUAGGCGGUGUGUCGCGUCGGCCGUGAAAACCUGCAGCUUAACUGUGGGCUUGCGGGCGAUACGGGCAGGCUAGAGUUCGGUAGGGGAGACUGGAAUUCCUGGUGUAGCGGUGAAAUGCGCAGAUAUCAGGAGGAACACCGGUGGCGAAGGCGGGUCUCUGGGCCGAUACUGACGCUGAGGAGCGAAAGCGUGGGGAGCGAACAGG